UGCAAUCGUCUUGUCGUUAACUCUGACAAUAUGGAGGUGAUUGACACAAUGAAAAAUGAAGGACAUUCGGCGGCAGCGGCGACAACAGUGUUCGAUGAUUGCUAUUUCUUAGCUGGUGAUUUUCCUCUUAGGUUCGAACAUUGUAAUUGGGAAGCUAAUAAGGUGGCUCAUGAACUUGCUAGGCUAGCGAAAUUUUCCAUCACUAGGGAUUGGUUUGAGGAAUGUAUGAGUGUUAUUAUACCUUUCCUAAUCGAGAUGUAA
rnacentral:rRNA from 1 species